GAUGAACGCUAGCGGCAGGCUUAACACAUGCAAGUCGAGGGGUAGAGUUAGCUUGCUAACUUGAGACCGGCGCACGGGUGCGUAACGCGUAUGCAAUCUACCUUGUACAGAGGGAUAGCCCAGAGAAAUUUGGAUUAAUACCUCAUAGUAUUAUUGAAUGGCAUCAUUUGAUUAUUAAAGUUCCAACGGUACAAGAUGAGCAUGCGUCCCAUUAGCUAGAUGGUAAGGUAACGGCUUACCAUGGCAACGAUGGGUAGGGGUCCUGAGAGGGAGAUCCCCCACACUGUACUGAGACACGGACCAGACUCCUACGGGAGGCAGCAGUGAGGAAUAUUGGUCAAUGGGCGCAAGCCUGAACCAGCCAUGCCGCGUGCAGGAAGACGGUCCUAUGGAUUGUAAACUGCUUUUAUACGGGAAGAAACACUGCUACGUGUAGCAGCUUGACGGUACCGUAAGAAUAAGCAUCGGCUAACUCCGUGCCAGCCGCCGCAGUAAAAC
rnacentral:rRNA from 1 species